AUGAACGCUGGCGGCGUGCCUAAUACAUGCAAGUCGAGCGAACAGACGAGGAGCUUGCUCCUCUGACGUUAGCGGCGGACGGGUGAGUAACCCGUGGAUAACCUACCUAUAAGACUGGGAUAACUUCGGGAAACCGGAGCUAAUACCGGAUAAUAUAUUGAACCGCAUGGUUCAAUAGUGAAAGACGGUUUUGCUGUCACUUAUAGAUGGAUCCGCGCCGCAUUAGCUAGUUGGUAAGGUAACGGCUUACCAAGGCAACGAUGCGUAGCCGACCUGAGAGGGAGAGAGGAGGAAGAGGGACUGAGACAAGGGAGAGAGAGCGACGGGGGGCAGCAGUAGGGAAUAUUGAGGAAUGGGGUAAAGCCGGAAGGAGCAACGAAGAGGGAAGAAAGAAGGUCUUAUUAUAGGAAAACUCUGUGAUUAUGGAAGAAAAAAUGGGUAAGUAACUAUGCACGUCGUGAGAGUCCCUAAUCAGAGAGCCACGGCUAGCUCCGAA
rnacentral:rRNA from 1 species